UGGGUGACCUGCCCUCAGCUCUGGGAUAAGCCCGAGAAAUUGGGUCUAAUACCGGAUAUGACCUUUCCUCGCAUGGGGUUUGGUGGAAAGUUUUUUCGGCUGGGGAUGGGCCCGCGGCCUAUCAGCUUGUUGGUGGGGUGAUGGCCUACCAAGGCGACGACGGGUAGCCGGCCUGAGAGGGCGACCGGCCACACUGGGACUGAGACACGGCCCAGACUCCUACGGGAG
rnacentral:rRNA from 1 species